CUGUGUCCUUCGACGCCGGUUCACCGCCUGUCGGUGCCAACUGGCGUUUUGCGGGACGUCCUGUCGGUGGUGUGUCAGGAAUCUUAGUUGUGCUAAGCUCUGCCUAGUGCAGCUCUGGUUUCGGGCCACUUUCAUAAUCCCGCCGCGGUGCUCUUAAUCGAGUGUCGAGGCGGGCCGGCACGUUUACUUUGAACAAAUUAGAGUGCUUCAAGCAGGCUUGUCACGCCUGUAUACUGUGUGCAUGGAAUAAUGGAAUAGGACCUCGGUUCUAUUUUGUUGGUUUCCGGAAUCUGAGGUAAUGAUCAAUGGGGACAGGCGGGGGCAUUCGUAUUGCGACGUUAGAGGUGAAAUUCUUGGAUCGUCGCAAGACGGACCGAAGCGAAAGCAUUUGCCAAGUAUGUUCCCGUCGAUCAAGAACGAAAGUUAGAGGUUCGAAGGCGAUCAGAUACCGCCCUAGUUCUAACCAUAAACAAUGCCUGCCAGCGAUCCGCCGGCGUCCCUCCGAUGACCCGGCGGGCAGCUUCCGGGAAACCAGAGCUUUUGGGUUCCGGGGGAAGUAUGGUUGCAAAGCUGAAACUUAAAGGAAUUGACGGAAGGGCACCACCAGGAGUGGAGCCUGCGGCUUAAUUUGACUCAACACGGGAAAACUCACCAGGCCCGGACACCGGAAGGAUUGACAGAUUGAUAGCUCUUUCUUGAUUCGGUGGGUGGUGGUGCAUGGCCGUUCUUAGUUGGUGGAGCGAUUUGUCUGGUUAAUUCCGAUAACGAACGAGACUCUAGCCUACUAACUAGACGUAUCUGGUAUCAGCAAUCGUGCUACCAGCGAUCAUAUCUCUUCUUAGAGGGACAGGCGGCUUUUAGCCGCACGAGACUGAGCAAUAACAGGUCUGUGAUGCCCUUAGAUGUCCUGGGCCGCACGCGCGCUACACUGAAGGAAUCAGCGUGUCUUCCCUGUCCGAAAGGACCGGGUAACCCGCUGAACCUCCUUCGUGCUUGGGAUUGGGGCUUGCAAUUGUUCCCCAUGAACGAGGAAUUCCCAGUAAGCGCGAGUCAUAAGCUCGCGUUGAUUACGUCCCUGCCCUUUGUACACACCGCCCGUCGCUACUACCGAUUGAAUGAUUUAGUGAGGUCUUCGGACCGGUGCGCGGAGGCGGUUUUCCGCUCCCGAUGUUGUCGGAAAGAUGACCAAACUUGAUCAUU
rnacentral:rRNA from 1 species